AGAAGGAAAUCCGAAGAUUUCGGUAAACAUUAACCCAUCUCGAACGCUAGUCCAACGUCAGCAAUAAGUCGACCGAAGAAAUCGCUCGACCACCAACGGCCUCCACCGGAUUCAACCACGGCGCACGCGCACAAUCCUCCAAAGGCAAACGAACGAAAACUAAGCUCGAUUCUCCAAAAUCUCAAAGAAAAGAAGAAAAGAAGCUAGAGAGAGAAAGAGGGAACCAACCUAU
rnacentral:lncRNA from 1 species